rnacentral:rRNA from 1 species
GAUGAACGCUGGCGGCGUGCCUAAUACAUGCAAGUCGAGCGAACAGAUGAGGAGCUUGCUCCUCUGACGUUAGCGGCGGACGGGUGAGUAACACGUGGAUAACCUACCUAUAAGACUGGGAUAACUUCGGGAAACCGGAGCUAAUACCGGAUAAUAUAUUGAACCGCAUGGUUCAAUAGUGAAAGACGGUUUUGCUGUCACUUAUAGAUGGAUCCGCGCCGCAUUAGGUAGUUGGUAAGGUAACGGCUUACCAAGGAAACGAUGCGUAGCCGACCUGAGAGGGUGAUCGGCCACACUGGAACUGAGACACGGUCCAGACUCCUACGGGAGGCAGCAGUGGGGAAUCUUCCGCAAUGGGCGAAAGCCUGACGGAGCAACGCCGCGUGAGUGAUGAAGGUCUUCGGAUCGUAAAACUCUGUUAUUAGGGAAGAACAAAUGUGUAAGUAACUAUGCACGUCUUGACGGUACCUAAUCAGAAAGCCACGGCUAACUACGUG